UACGUAGGGGGCAAGCGUUGUCCGGAAUCAUUGGGCGUAAAGAGCGUGUAGGCGGCCUGAUAAGUCGGCUGUGAAAGUCAAGGGCUCAACCCUUGAAUGCCGGCCGAUACUGUCAGGCUAGAGUCCGGAAGAGGCGAGUGGAAUUCCUGGUGUAGCGGUGAAAUGCCCAGAUAUCAGGAGGAACACCUAUGGCGAAGGCAGCUCGCUGGGACGGUACUGACGCUGAGACGCGAAAGCGUGGGGAGCGAACAGG
rnacentral:rRNA from 1 species